GCAUCAUUCAAGGUUCCGGGAUCAGAAAGUUGAGAGGAAUCAUCAGAUAAAGGUGAUCCAUGUAUGACGCCGGGUGUUGCAAGAGGGCUGCUGGUCGAGACUCUCCCAUCCCGAGCUAUGGACUGACUGUCACCCCCCACUCUCAAUAAAGGAGCAAUAGGAGAUGGAACUCUACUUCCAUGUGAAAUACUGUGAGUCGGGGUUGUAUACCCACUACCAGAACUCUUGACCGCAAAAGAAGGCAAGGAAGUUAGCAAAGAAUUAGCCUGAGGCUUCCAAUAUGCAGCGGCUACUGACUUCAGAUGCUUGUUAUGUCCAAAGGCAAAACGUGCCAAAGCUACAGCAACCUCCACUCGAACCAAAGGGCUUCCAUCAGAAGCAACACUUAAAAGGCUCUUAAUUAUACUGACU
rnacentral:misc_RNA from 1 species